CUGAGGGCUGGCUAGCAGGGUGAUUUAUCAGUGUUGCCUCUGUCCUGGGCACCAAACCAUAGAGCUGAGCUCUGUAACAGUGCUAACAGCCCCUAGUGCUGUGAUAUCAGGGCCUGCUGACAGCAUCCAGAGGAUAGAGCAGGAGUUAAUGCCUCCUGUUGUGCCUGGGCAGCAGUCAGUGAGCCAGGAGAGCAGAAAGCAGCUCUGGGGGCAGGGACACCUGUCCAAGCUGGGAAUGCCCUGCAUGGGCUGUGCCUUGCUGCCUUGCCCCUGUCCCUUGCAGAGCUGCUGCCAUGAGCACAGAAGGCUGAGCUGAAACUUCAGAGCGCUGAGUGUGGAAGAGGCACCUUUAAAGGCAGUUACCGAUCUAUGUUUUUGCCCUCUGUGGCUGCUGGAGACAAGUGACCCUUGGGUGAGGAACCAUCCCCAUGGCUGAGCACUGCUGGCUCUACAGGGCACAGAGCAAAAACCUGCCCCCAAAGCAUUGAUCACUGCAGACUCUAAUUAAGGCACACUUCUCACUGUGGCUGCGUGGGGCUCUGUGUGUAUUUGAGCAGUGCACUGACAGCUCUGGGUGUUAUCUCCUGCUUUGCUUUGUCCCACAGAUUAUCCUCUGUGCUGUAGGUGGGGAUGAGACCACAGUCACACUGAUGAGAAGCUUGUGUGGCGUGUGGCCUCUUCCUGGAGGGAAAGGAGGAAAACCAAUUUAGAAACCUUAAGAAUGAAGUCUCAAGUGAAGUAUUUACUUUAACACUACUCCUUAUCCCUGUUCCUCUUAGGCAAAGAGCUUUUACAGCCCUGUUUGGCUGCCGUCUGGAUGGCAGUAAGGACAGCAAUAACUGUCUUUUGAGGGGCAGAAGGGAAAAAAAUGAGUCAAUAUAUGCUACAGAAACUGCUGCUGUUCUUCUUGGGGCCCGAUGCCAUUUCCUGAGGCUGAAGACCAGAACCUGUGCAGCACUGGGGCAGCUGCUAGCCCUGCUGUGCCUUCACUGCCCUGCAGAUCCCACACAGCGCAGCAUGCUGCUGCCUGCCCUGUCUCAACCCUGUGCUUGCUGGCACUAUGUUAAAGAAUUCUAUUAUCCCCUUUGCAGAGGUUUUCCUUCUCCAAAUGCUCUGGCUUGCUCUCUGCUCCCUUGCACUGCUGUCCCACAAUUAACAGCUGUUUCCCUCCACUUGCAGACCAAUGCUUUCAUUGCCAGCUCCUGGUAUGCUGGAGGUAUCUGCAGUUCUCCCAGUGAUGCCUUCUCCUAUUUCCAAUUUUUGCUUCCUAUUUUUAUUUCCUUUUAUCUCAAAUCCUUUCUUUCCCACCCAGAAAUGAUCCCGCCAGAGGGCGAUUCCGUCGGUAAUAUUGCUUUUGCAUUUUAGACUUUUCAAGGACUAAUGAACUUUAUUAGAUUAUAAUGAACUUAUUACUCAGCGCUGCUGACCUGCUUUCUAAAGAACUUGAAUUAUUAUUUGGAACAGGCCUGUUGAGGGACUGC